rnacentral:rRNA from 1 species
GAUGAACGCUGGCGGCGUGCCUAAUACAUGCAAGUCGAGCGAACAGAUAAGGAGCUUGCUCCUCUGACGUUAGCGGCGGACGGGUGAGUAACACGUGGGUAACCUACCUAUAAGACUGGGAUAACUGCGGGAAACCGGAGCUAAUACCGGAUAACAUUUGGAACCUCAUGGUUCUAAAGUGAAAGAGGUUUUUGCUAUCCCUUAUAGAUGGACCCGCGCCGGAUUAGCUAGUUGGUAAGGUAACGGCUUACCAAGGCGACGAUGCGUAGCCGACCUGAGAGGGUGAAGCGGCACAGUGGAACUGAGACACGGUCCAGACUCCUACGGGCGGCAGAGGUAGGGACUCGUCGGAGAUGGGCGAAAGACUGAAGGAGCAACGCAGCGUGAGUGAUGAAGGGUUGCGGCUCGUAAGACUCUGUUAUUAGGGAAGACCAAACGUGUAAGUAACUAUGCACGUCUUGACGGUACCUAAUCAGAAAGCAACGGCUAACUACGUG